UGGGAAUUUGGCAAUGGGCGAAAGCCUGAUCCAGCAAUGCCGCGUGUGUGAAGAAGGCCUUCGGGUUGUAAAGCACUUUUGUCCGGAAAGAAAUCCUUGGCUCUAAUACAGUCGGGGGAUGACGGUACCGGAAGAAUAAGCACCGGCUAACUACGUGCCAGCAGCCGCGGUAAUACGUAGGGUGCAAGCGUUAAUCGGAAUUACUGGGCGUAAAGCGUGCGCAGGCGGUUUGCUAAGACCGAUGUGAAAUCCCCGGGCUCAACCUGGGAACUGCAUUGGUGACUGGCAGGCUAGAGUAUGGCAGAGGGGGGUAGAAUUCCACGUGUAGCAGUGAAAUGCGUAGAGAUGUGGAGGAAUACCGAUGGCGAAGGCAGCCCCCUGGGCCAAUACUGACGCUCAUGCACGAAAGCGUGGGGAGCAAACAGGAUUAGAUACCCCUGGUGGUCCACGCCCUAAAACGAUGUCAACUAGUUGUUGGGGAUUCAUUUCCUUAGUAACGUAGCUAACGCGUGAAGUUGACCGCCUGGGGAGUACGGUCGCAAGAUUAAAACUUAAAUGAAUUGAC
rnacentral:rRNA from 1 species